rnacentral:snRNA from 1 species
UAGAGAUGGAUAAGUAUCG